rnacentral:rRNA from 1 species
ACGGCGACCGGCGCACGGGUGAGUAACACGUAUCCAACCUGCCGAUGACUCGGGGAUAGCCUUUCGAAAGAAAGAUUAAUACCCGAUGGCAUAGUUCUUCCGCAUGGUAGAACUAUUAAAGAAUUUCGGUCAUCGAUGGAGAUGCGUUCCAUUAGCUUGUUGGCGGGGUAACGGCCCACCAAGGCAUCGAUGGAUAGGGGUUCUGAGAGGAAGGUCCCCCACAUUGGAACUGAGACACGGUCCAAACUCCUACGGAAGGCAGCAG